rnacentral:rRNA from 1 species
AGUGAACGCUGGCGGUAGGCCUAACGCAUGCAAGUCGAACGGCAGCACAGUAAGAGCUUGCUCUUACGGGUGGCGAGUGGCGGACGGGUGAGGAAUACAUCGGAAUCUACUUUUUCGUGGGGGAUAACGUAGGGAAACUUACGCUAAUACCGCAUACGACCUACGGGUGAAAGCAGGGGAUCUUCGGACCUUGCGCGAUUGAAUGAGCCGAUGUCGGAUUAGCUAGUUGGCGGGGUAAAGGCCCACCAAGGCGACGAUCCGUAGCUGGUCUGGGAGGAUGAUCAGCCACACUGGAACUGAGACACGGUCCAGACUCCUACGGGAGGCAGCAGUGGGGAAUAUUGGACAAUGGGCGCAAGCCUGAUCCAGCCAUACCGCGUGGGUGAAGAAGGCCUUCGGGUUGUAAAGCCCUUUUGUUGGGAAAGAAAAGCAGCAGGUUAAUACCCCGCUGUUCUGACGGUACCCAAAGAAUAAGCACCGGCUAACUUCGUG